rnacentral:rRNA from 1 species
UACGGAGGGUGCGAGCGUUAAUCGGAAUUACUGGGCGUAAAGCGCGCGUAGGCGGCGCGGUAAGCGAGAUGUGAAAGCCCCGGGCUCAACCUGGGAACGGCAUUUCGAACUGUCGCGCUAGAGUGUGGUAGAGGGGUGUGGAAUUUCCUGUGUAGCGGUGAAAUGCGUAGAUAUAGGAAGGAACACCAGUGGCGAAGGCGGCACCCUGGACCAACACUGACGCUGAGGUGCGAAAGCGUGGGGAGCAAACAGG